AUGAGGGCCCCUGCUCAGCUCCUGGGGCUCCUGCUACUCUGUUUCCCAGGUGCCAAAUGUGAUGUCCAGUUGACCCAGUCUCCAACCUUCCUGUCUGCAUCUGUAGGAGACAGAGUCACCAUCGCUUGCCGGGCGAGUCAAAGCAUUAACAGAGGAUUAGCCUGGUAUCAGCAGAAGCCAGGGAAAGCGCCUAAGCUGCUGAUUUCUUAUGCAUCCAGUUUGUACACUGGUGUGCCAUCGAGGUUCAGUGGCAGUGGAUCUGGGACAGAUUUCACGCUCACCAUCAGUAGCCUACAGCCUGAAGAUGCUGCAACUUAUUAUUGUUUCUAGUAUAAUAGUUACCCUCUCACAGUGUUACAAGUCAGAACAUAAACCACCCAAGGAAGAAGAUAUGUAAGGGUGGGCUGCCCAAGAUGCUCCUCUUGCAGCUCUAUCUGCUGACAGCAUUUCUUGGAAAUAGCCACAUUUUGAAGGUCACUUUUUGGUUUUGGUAGAA